GUUGCAAAGAACUUUGAAGAGAGAGUUCAAGAGUACGUGAAACUGCUGAGAGGCAAACUGGUGGGCCCUCGAAAUCCCGUUUGCGGGGAGAUUCAGUCGGGUGUCGGCGGCCGUCUCUGAGUGGGUCUGUCGCAACCGAAGAUCGGGGCACAUUCCCGGAGGCGAGUACCGCUGGAACCCGACGCAUUUCCCGCCCGCACGAAAGGACGCCGCAGCCGGUCGGGUAGCUGCGCGUGUCGGCCAUGAGGACGUUGCGACGGCAGGUGACCGGCGGCCCUAGGCCAUUCUUAAUGGCACUAACGGUCGACGGUUGAUUAGCCGGCUCGUCCGUGGCGCGACACCCGACCGAGGUCGAGAAGAGAAGUCCGUGGAGGAAUCCCGGACGUAUCCACUACUUUCAAACUUAUAGAGCGAGCCGUCGGACAGGCGCGUUCCUGCGUGGUCGGGCAGUCACCGCACUGGUCGAUCUGGUGGGAGCGCGUCGUUGGUUUCCGAGUCAGGAUCUCGCGGAGGAUGGAAGGCUGGCGGCGAGUAGGUCGGUAACCCACCCGACCCGUCUUGAAACACGGACCAAGGAGUCUAACAUGUGCGCGAGUCGCAGGGUCUUGAAUAGGCCCAGAGGCGCAAUGAAAGUGAAGGCUGCCAUCUUMGACGCCCUUCAUCGGGGGAAGAAGUGGUAGGCCCGGUCGGGACUCGCACGUGACACGGCACGUGACGAAGCACCGACGACCCGCCCUGUUCUAUUUCUAAUAGGAACUCAAACGGAGUUUGAGCGCACACGUUGGGACCCGAAAGAUGGUGAACUAUGCCUGGGCAGGACGAAGCCAGAGGAAACUCUGGUGGAGGUCCGCAGCGGUUCUGACGU
rnacentral:rRNA from 1 species